rnacentral:rRNA from 1 species
UUUUCCGCCGGCGACCGGCGCACGGGUGCGGAACGCGUAUGGAACCUGCCCCUGUCAGGGGAAUAGCCCAGGGAAACUUGGAUUAAUGCCCCAUGGUACCGCGAUAUCGCAUGAUAUUGCGGUUAAAGAUUUAUCGGACAGGGAUGGCCAUGCGUACCAUUAGUUAGUUGGUGGGGUAACGGCCCACCAAGGCAGCGAUGGUUAGGGGCCCUGAGAGGGGGAUCCCCCACACUGGUACUGAGACACGGACCAGACUCCUACGGGAGGCAGCAGUGAGGAAUAUUGGACAAUGGGCGGGAGCCUGAUCCAGCCAUGCCGCGUGCAGGAUGACGGCCCUAUGGGUUGUAAACUGCUUUUAUACGGGAAGAAAUGCGCCCACGUGUGGGCGUCUGACGGUACCGUAAGAAUAAGGACCGGCUAACUCCGUGCCAGCAGCCGCGGUAAUACGGAGGGUCCGAGCGUUAUCCGGAAUCAUUGGGUUUAAAGGGUCCGUAGGCGGGCCUGUAAGUCAGGGGUGAAAGUUUGUGGCUCAACCAUAAAAUUGCCUUUGAUACUGCAGGUCUUGAGUCAUGGUGGGGUCGCCGGAACAUGUGGUGUAGCG